GAAUUUGUGAGCUUGGUAGUGAAAAAUACUACAAAAUAAUCCGGAUAAAUCGUCGGUUAGUGGUAUCGAAAGAACCAAAUUCGGUGAUUAUUGGAUAGUGCGACCUUAGGAAGUUUUUGGAAAACCGCCGUAGAAUCGCUGUAACGGUUGAGUAAAUCCAACUGUCCGACCAAAUUCGCGAGAUCCAAGUAGGGUAGGUGAACCUAUAGUUGACACCUGGAAGUAUAGUCGAACCUAGUGGGUAGAAGGAAACCACUACUUGUAAGUCAUUGAUUAGAUUAAGCUGUAAAUUUGUAUUGAGUAAAAUAAAUAAUUACAGUUUUGAGCAUCGCCACAAAAAAAGUG